rnacentral:rRNA from 1 species
AAUGAACGCUGGCGGCAGGCCUAAAACAUGCAAGUCGAGCGGUAAGGCCCUUUCGGGGGUACGACGAGCGGCGAACGGGUGGAGUAACACGUGGGUGGACCUGCCCUCCAGCUCUGGGAGUAAGCCUGGGAAACCGGGUACGUAAUACUGGAUAUGACUCCAUGACGCAUGUUGUGGGGUGGAAAGCCUUGUGCGGCUGAGGAUGGGCCCGCGGCCUAUCAGCUUGUUGGUGGGGU